ACAUGACCUACGCGGGUCAAAGUGUCUUAUUUGUUCUUAUCAGCUUAAUAUCUCAUACGGGUUUUAUUAGGAUUCAAGAUAUUGAACUUAUAUUUGCAAGUUGGCGGAGUGCUUGAAGCCUGCUUCACCUCCGUCGUGGGUCGGCCCGGUAUUCCACUAUCUUCGGGAUUUUUGGUCUAUACGGA